GUGAGGAAUAUUGCACAAUGGACGAAAGUCUGAUGCAGCAACGCCGCGUGGAGGAUGACGGCCCUUGGGUUGUAAACUCCUUUUUUCAGGGAAGAGUGAGGACGGUACCUGAAGAAUAAGUCACGGCUAACUACGUGCCAGCAGCCGCGGUAAUACGUAGGUGGCAAGCGUUAUCCGGAAUUACUGGGCGUAAAGCGCACGCAGGCGGUCUCUUAAGUUUGACGUGAAAGCUCCCGGCUUAACUGGGAGAGGUCGUUGAAUACUGGGGGACUUGAGGCAAUGAGAGGGGUGUAGAAUUCCCGGUGUAGUGGUGGAAUGCGUAGAUAUCGGGGGGAAUACCAGUGGCGAAAGCGGCACCCUAGCGUUGUUCUGACGCUCAUGUGCGAAAGCGUGGGGAGCGAACGGGAUUAGAUACCCCAGUAGUCC
rnacentral:rRNA from 1 species